CCUACGGGAGGCAGCAGUGGGGAAUAUUGGACAAUGGGGGGAACCCUGAUCCAGCGACGCCGCGUGAGUGAAGAAGUAUUUCGGUAUGUAAAGCUCUAUCAGCAGGGAAGAAAGAAAUGACGGUACCUGACUAAGAAGCCCCGGCUAACUAAGUGCCAGCAGCCGCGGGAAUACGUAGGGGGCAAGCGUUAUCCGGAUUUACUGGGUGUAAAGGGAGCGUAGACGGCGAUGCAAGUCUGAAGUGAAAGGCGGGGGCCCAACCCCCGGACUGCUUUGGAAACUGUAUGGCUGGAGUGCAGGAGAGGUAAGUGGAAUUCCUAGUGUAGCGGUGAAAUGCGUAGAUAUUAGGAGGAACACCAGUGGCGAAGGCGGCUUACUGGACUGUAACUGACGUGGAGGCUCGAAAGCGUGGGGAGCAAACAGGAUUAGAUACCCUGGUAGUC
rnacentral:rRNA from 1 species